rnacentral:rRNA from 1 species
GAUGAACGCUGGCGGCGUGCCUAAUACAUGCAAGUCGAGCGAACGGACGAGAAGCUUGCUUUUCUGAUGUUAGCGGCGGACGGGUGAGUAACACGUGGAUAACCUACCUAUAAGACUGGGAUAACUUCGGGAAACCGGAGCUAAUACCGGAUAAUAUUUUGAACCGCAUGGUUCAUAAGUGAAAGACGGUCUUGCUGUCACUUAUAGAUGGAUCCGCGCUGCAUUAGCUAGUUGGUAAGGUAACGGCUUACCAAGGCAACGAUGCAUAGCCGACCUGAGAGGGUGAUCGGCCACACUGGAACUGAGACACGGUCCAGACUCCUACGGGAGGCAGCAGUAGGGAAUCUUCCGCAAUGGGCGAAAGCCUGACGGAGCAACGCCGCGUGAGUGAUGAAGGUCUUCGGAUCGUAAAACUCUGUUAUUAGGGAAGAACAUAUGUGUAAGUAACUGUGCACAUCUUGACGGUAUCUAAUCAGAAAGCCACGGCUAACUACGUG